rnacentral:sRNA from 21 species
GUAACGGGUUCCCGGCCCUGAGGGGCCGGGCUUUCAGCCGGAGUGGUUGAGGGCCGCCGUUACCAGCACCAGCCAACAAAGAGUGGAGGAGGUGACUGAAGUUGGCUACGUUCCGCGUAGGCGAGAAGACCCACCAAGCUGUGCUUCACCAGCAGCUUGCUCUGGA